AUUUCCUCUAAUGAUAAUGAUUCAGUGGAGAAAUUCCAACUGGAAGGUGUUGUCUAAAAAAAACAAGAAACUCUUCUUCUACCCAAAUAAUUUCCAGGAUAAUGUUUCUGCCUCCAAAAAAGAAUACCCUAAUGGCUAAGUAUGUGUAUAUAAUACAUGUACUGUAUGAUGUAUGAUAUAAAGAUAUGGACUUCUGCUGGAACUAAUGACCUCGUUACUUACGGGAUCGCCUGCUGCCAUCAGUAGCCUCCCACCGGCCGGUACGCUCUCAUAGAGAGGGGCUCCUCCGGAUGCCA